rnacentral:lncRNA from 10 species
ACUGUUCUCAUCCAAGUAGUGAGUGAGAGGUGGAGAAUGAGGAUACCCACUGUUCUACCUGUUAAUGGGGCUGAAGAAUGUUAUUUCCCUUUGAUUACUUAAUGAAGACAGAAUGUCUGGACCAGUAAUGACCUCCUAAGAUACUGACACUCUGUGAGGUACUAUCUGAGGCAAACAGGACUUCUUGGACAUCUCUUUGACCACAAUAUGGCACCAUACCAGGAAUCUGAGGAAGCAGAGGUUCCACAUGGUUUGCUGAAAAUUCAAGGGGAAAACAACAUCUGAACUGAAAAUGCUUAACUCAGAGCUCUCCUCAAAUAGUAAAUACUAUUUCAGAAACGGUUGGUAAGCUUUGGCAAGACGCUGCCCUCAGAAAGAACCAUGGCAGCUGAGAAAUAGCAAGUACCAGGUAUGGGUUCUGUGGUAUAAACAUGAGGG